AACGAACGCUGGCGGCAUGCUUAACACAUGCAAGUCGAACGGCAGCACGGGAGCAAUCCUGGUGGCGAGUGGCGAACGGGUGAGUAAUACAUCGGAACGUGCCCAGUAGUGGGGAGUAGCCCGGGACGAAAGCCGGAUUAAUACCGCAUACGACCUACGGGUGAAAAGCGGGGGAUCGCAAGACCUCGCGCUGUUGGAGCGG
rnacentral:rRNA from 1 species